AACGAACGCUGGCGGCAGGCCUAACACAUGCAAGUCGAGCGCCCAGCAAUGGGAGCGGCAGACGGGUGAGUAACGCGUGGGAACCUUCCCAAUGGUACGGAAUAGCUCAGGGAAACUUGAGGUAAUACCGCAUAAGCCCGAAAGGGGAAAGAUUUAUCGCCAUUGGAUGGGCCCGCGUAGGAUUAGCUAGUUGGUGAGGUAAUGGCUCACCAAGGCGACGAUCCUUAGCUGGUUUGAGAGAAUGACCAGCCACACUGGGACUGAGACACGGCCCAGACUCCUACGGGAGGCAGCAGUGGGGAAUCUUGGACAANGGGCGAAAGCCUGAUCCAGCCAUGCCGCGUGAGGGAUGACGGCCU
rnacentral:rRNA from 1 species